rnacentral:rRNA from 1 species
AUGAUUGGGGACUACGAGCAAUAGCUUAAAAACCCAAGAAUUUGGCGGUGUCUUAUUCAAUCAGGGGAAUCUGUCUCAUAAUCGACAACCCACGAAAAAUAUACCUAAUUUAAAAAUUAGUUUGUGUACUGCCGACUGUAUAGGCCCUUAAGGUAACCUAUAGAAAAUUUAAAUAAAUCAAAUGUCAGGUCAAAGUGCAGCUCAUAGUUAGGAGAAGAUGGAUUACAAUAUAUAUGAUAUACAAAAAUUUAUAUUAAUUUAUACAUUUAAGAAGAACUUGAUAGUAAUUAUAUUAACAAAAUAUAAUGAAAAUGAACCUAAGACAA